CACACAGCCAUUGCCAGAGGCUCGUUCCUGGCCAUUGCUGACCCUGGACUCAGCUGUAGACGGGCUUGCUCGGCCCCCACGACCGUCCCGCUCUGCCCAUUUCUGUCCGAGAGGCUGAAUGCGAAGCUCGGAGAAGGUGGCCGGCCUUGCUGUCCCAUCAGAGAGGCCUCAGAGGGCCCACAGCCAUUGCCAGGUAGGGUCCCUCCCGGGGCCUUCUGGUUUUCCUCACUCACAGGUGAAGUUGAAGGGAGGGGAUGGGCCAGGCGCGGAACUGAUGCUUUUGUGGUCAAAGUCUUAUGUUUCUCUCCUGGGUGGGGCUCAAGAGGUUUUCCCGGGAACUCUGCCAUGUCGGCUUUCAAGUGGGUGCCAGAAUCACGGGUGGCAGAGGAGGGAAAAGUAGACCGUGGAAGG